rnacentral:rRNA from 1 species
ACUCCACAUACGCAUCCUUUGCUGAGGAUACGGUUAACGGAGCGAAAGCGAUGUUCAACCGCAAAAGAAGCAGAGGGGGCUUAGUGGUGGGGUGACUGCGUACCUUUUGUAUAAUGGGUCAGCGACUUAUAUUCUGUAGCAAGGUUAACCGAAUAGGGGAGCCGGAGGGAAACCGAGUCUUAAUUGGGCGUUAAGUUGCAGGGUAUAGACCCGAAACCCGGUGAUCUAGCCAUGGGCAGGUUGAAGGUUGGGUAACACUAACUGGAGGACCGAACCGACUAAUGUUGAAAAAUUAGCGGAUGACCUGUGGCUGGGGGUGAAAGGCCAAUCAAACCGGGAGAUAGCUGGUUCUCCCCGAAAGCUAUUUAGGUAGCGCCUCGUGAAUUCAUCUCCGGGGGUAGAGCACUGUUUCGGCUAGGGGGCCAUCCCGGCUUACCAACCCGAUGCAAACUGCGAAUACCGGAGAAUGUUAUCACGGGAGACACACGGCGGGUGCUAACGUCCGUCGUGAAGAGGGAAACAACCCAGACCGCCAGCUAAGGUCCCAAAGUCAUGGUUAAGUGGGAAACGAUGUGGGAAGGCCCAGACAGCCAGGAUGUUGGCUUAGAAGCAGCCAUCAUUUAAAGAAAGCGUAAUAGCUCACUGGUCGAGUCGGCCUGCGCGGAAGAUGUAACGGGGCUAAACCAUGCACCGAAGCUGCGGCAGCGAACGUAUCACCCAAGACAACUUUACGGAGUUAACGAUUGACGGAGCGAAGCGACGUCAAAGCGUUCAUUAAAGUCGAGUUGGCUUAGGGAUACGUUCGUUGGGUAGGGGAGCGUUCUGUAAGCCUGUGAAGGUGGCCUGUGAGGGUUGCUGGAGGUAUCAGAAGUGCGAAUGCUGACAUAAGUAACGAUAAAGCGGGUGAAAAGCCCGCUCGCCGGAAGACCAAGGGUUCCUGUCCAACGUUAAUCGGGGCAGGGUGAGUCGACCCCUAAGGCGAGGCCGAAAGGCGUAGUCGAUGGGAAACGGGUUAAUAUUCCCGUACUUGGUGUUACUGCGAAGGGGGGACGGAGAAGGCUAUGUUGGCCGGGCGACGGUUGUCCCGGUUUAAGCGUGUAGGCUGGUUUUCCAGGCAAAUCCGGAAA